CAUCUUGAAUGUUAGUUGGCGCUAGCAUUGGCUGCCUCUCCAGCAGUCUGUCACGUCCAUUCUCUGUUUUUAUUAUUUUAAGUAUGUUUUAAAUGUGUGUUUCAAUGUUUCUAGGUUAGAUUAUGUGGGGGGAGGGAGGGGGAAUAGGGGAAACUUUUUUUCAGUCACUUACCUCGACGGAGAUGCAACAUUCUCAGUGUCUCAUCUCUGCCA